rnacentral:rRNA from 1 species
GAUGAACGCUGGCGGCGUGCCUAAUACAUGCAAGUCGAGCGAACAGACGAGGAGCUUGCUCCUCUGACGUUAGCGGCGGACGGGUGAGUAACACGUGGAUAACCUACCUAUAAUACUGGGAUAACUUCGGGAAACCGGAGCUAAUACCGGAUAAUAUAUUGAACCGCAUGGUGCAAUAGUGAAAGACGGUUUUGCUGUCACUUAUAGAUGGAUCCGCGCCGCAUUAGCUAGUUGGUAAGGUAACGGCUUACCAAGGCAACGAUGCGUAGCCGACCUGAGAGGGUGGUCCGCCACACUGGAACUGAGACACGGUCCCGACUCCUACGGGAAGCAGCAGUAGGGAAUCUUCCGCAAUGGGCGAAAGCCUGACGGAGCAACGCCGCGUGAGUGAUGAAGGUCUUCGGAUCGUAAAACUCUGUUAUUAGGGAAAAACAAAUGUGUAAGUAACUAUGCACGUCUUGACGGUAACUAAUCAGAAAGCCACGGCUAACUACGUG